UUCUGUUUGAGAAAAAAAACUAACACCAGCAAAUGGUAACUUGAAAUGGAAUUUGUUCUUUAAUAAAAUAACAAAACAAAGUCUCCACAGAGGAGUAGUUUCCUUUUUUCUACAUGUAAGUGUUUGUAACAAAAUAAAAGAGCAUUUAACUCUUCAGGCUGGUGAUAACAAAUAAAGAUGUGGUUCACCUUGACUUUCAGACGCUCUGUCUCUCUGUUCAAAGAGCUUCUUUCCUUUAUUCAUGAGCUCUUUGGGGACAGGAUUUUUAACAGUUCCUUCUGACAACUUGUGGUUAGCAGAAUAUUUGCUUUCCAUUUUUUUUUGAAGUGUGUGUUGUGGCUCCCAAGUAUCCAUCUGUAACUCUCUGAAAAAUUUCCGGUAGCUUGCGGCUAGAAUAUAUUUUGUGAUGCCUGGUUUGUCACUGGUUAGCUCACAUGCUGAAGUUUAAACUGACACCUGAAAUUCACCAAGAUGAGCAGUCCUUUGGAGACCCUCUCUUCAGCCAUCUCUCCCAGGUCACCCCUCUGAAAUCCCAAGAGAUUAUUGACUUUGGUACUGAGCCAUCACACAGGAGAGAAUUUUGAUUUUUUUUUCUUUCUUUCUUUUCUUUUUUUUUUUUUUUUUUUUUUUUCCUAAGACUGCUUAUGCCACAGAUCAUCCUCACUCCCUGGAUCCAUUCUGCACCUCUAAUGAGCUAUGAUGCCCUUCAUUCACAUAAGAUUUUGGCAGUGCAUAUUCCAUUUUUGGAAGUGAUUUUAUAGGAAAGGUAUCACUUUUAUAUGUUUCACCUCCAUAGCAAAAGUGUGAGGUCUGGACAUAGAAGAUAACUAACCCUGCUUCACUUGAUGAUUGAACAGUCCAGCCUCUUGUUGUUUGUAUCUGCUUUUUGUAAGAUGUGAGCUGCCCCAGUGUAGCAUAGUCUAACUUUUGUCACCUUCAUUUAAUGACACACUGAUAUGCAACAAGGAAGCUUUAUACCUCCUCCCAAGACUGCAGCUUGAGAGCUGUGUCCAUCCUGCAAAACAAUGGGAAACAUCAAGCCUAAUGCCAAGAAAUCUCAGGCUUCCUUCAGGACAAUUACUUCCAUUUUCAGCAAUUUGUUUGUUUUUGCAUGCCUGCACAACCAUUGUGGUUCCAAAUCUGAGUGGGGACGAGUUACAAUGAUUCCUCUGCUCCAUAAACCACACUGCCCACUACCUGGGGAUGUGGUGGUCAUUCCAUCCUUCUCCCACCUGCAGAGAAGUCCGGACUAGCUGGCUCCUGCCUGAAAGGGUUUAGAUCUUUUUCAUAGUGAGAGCAAAUGCUCUCUUUAUCUAUUCUUCUGAGGGCCAGACUGCGACAGAGAAUGGAAACUGGUUGUUCUGCUUUUCAGGAUGGUCCUGUUCCAGGCCAGUCAGAAGGCAAUGCCAACUAACAAUCCUUGUGUAGCAUUGUUUUCAAGUGGGAAUGUUUGGUCCCAGUGAACUUCCCAUGAUUAACUAGAACCUUGCCCUCCUUGACAGCAGCCCUAGGUACUACAGAAGUGAAUUGGGAGAGCCAGACCAGGUAAUAAAGCUGGCUCCCUUGUUGGAUUCUGUCUGCUCCAGGAAGUAUGUUCCUGUGAGCUCAAUAUUUAACUAGCACAGCAAAAUAAAUGAAAACAAGGCAAAGAAUAAUGCUCCACUUCUCUGGGAACACAGGGCCUCAAGUAUGUAACAUGAAUACAGCAUGUCUGUUUGCCGGAGAAUUCAUACAUAGGAUGAAAAAGAACUCUCCAGGGUAACAGCAACACAGAAAACCUGAACAACCCGCUGUGUGGAGUGUGGAGAAGGUUGCAUCAAAAGAACAUUGGCACAUUAGCUUAGUGAUUAGCUUGUAGAGUAGCACCCAGUGGUGAAAUGGCUUUUAUCCUCCUUUUCACACACAAAAAUGAUGCGUCACGUGAAGGAAUGCUUACAAUGAAGUCAGACCUGAUGUCUGUUGUGACUUCUCAAGCAUUUCAUCAAAAAUAUUUCCUUGCAGGUCUGAAAGAAGCUGCUGCCAUAUGGAGAGCUGGAGCAGCCAAGAAUUAUAUUCACCAGCAGUGCACUAUUCAAAGCAUUUAGAGGCUGCCAGUCCUCAUGGUCCCAGACCAAAGCUAACCUUUGUAGCAGCACUAUUAGGUUUUCUUGCUUCUUUUUCCAAGUCAGAUGGGGUUGGCACUCUCUUGUGAAGAACACUGGGUCAGAGGGUCUGAGGGGUUACUCCUGAUGGCAAUUCCUGUCCUAGCUCAGAUGCAGCUGCAUCCCCAGUUACAUUCAUUUUAGGGACAGAAUAAUCCUCUGCAUUUUUUCACUGUGUGCAGCACAGAUCUGAUAGGUCUCACCUGAGUACUGGAGCAGGAUGGAAGAAAGGAGAAGCUUUUGCUCUUUCUUUGGGCAAAUGACUGAGCUAUUCCACAGAGCUAUUCCACAAUAAAAAUUAAUCCAACUCUUUCAUAGUGGCUAGUGACUAAAUACACAACUGUUUAAAGAAGCACCAGGCUAUCUG